CUUUGUUGCCAGCGGUCCGGCCGGGAACUCAAAGGAGACUGCCAGUGAUAAACUGGAGGAAGGUGGGGAUGACGUCAAGUCAUCAUGGCCCUUACGACCAGGGCUACACACGUGCUACAAUGGCGCAUACAAAGAGAAGCGACCUCGCGAGAGCAAGCGGACCUCAUAAAGUGCGUCGUAGUCCGGAUUGGAGUCUGCAACUCGACUCCAUGAAGUCGGAAUCGCUAGUAAUCGUGGAUCAGAAUGCCACGGUGAAUACGUUCCCGGGCCUUGUACACACCGCCCGUCACACCAUGGGAGUGGGUUGCAAAAGAAGUAGGUAGCUUAACCUUCGGGAGGGCGCUUACCACUUUGUGAUUCAUGACUGGGGUGAAGUCGUAACAAGGUAACCGUAGGGGAACCUGCGGUUGGAUCACCUCCUUA
rnacentral:rRNA from 1 species